GAUGAACGCUGGCGGCGUGCCUAAUACAUGCAAGUCGAGCGAACAGACGAGGAGCUUGCUCCUCUGACGUUAGUGGCGGACGGGUGAGUAACACGUGGAUAACCUACCUAUAAGACUGGGAUAACUUCGGGAAACCGGAGCUAAUACCGGAUAAUAUAUUGAACCGCAUGGUUCAAUAGUGAAAGACGGUUUUGCUGUCACUUAUAGAUGGAUCCGCGCCGGAUUAGCUAGUUGGUAAGGUAACGGCUUACCAAGGCAACGAUGCGUAGCCGACCUGAGAGGGUGAUCGGCCACACUGGAACUGAGACACGGUCCAGACUCCUACGGGAGGCAGCAGUAGGGAAUCUUCCGCAAAGGGCGAAAGCCUGACGGAGCAACGCCGCGUGAGUGAUGAAGGUCUUCGGAUCGUAAAACUCUGUUAUUAGGGAAGAACAAAUGUGUAAGUAACUAUGCACGUCUUGACGGUACCUAAUCAGAAAGCCACGGCUAACUACGUG
rnacentral:rRNA from 1 species